UACGGAAGGCAGCAGUGGGGAAUAUUGCACAAUGGGCGAAAGCCUGAUGCAGCUAUGCCGCGUGUAUGAAGAAGGCCUUAGGGUUGUAAAGUACUUUCAUCGGGGAGGAAAAAAACAAAACUAAUAAUUUUAUUUCUUGACGUUACCCGAAAAAGAAGCACCGGCUAACUCCGUGCCAGCAGCCGCGGUAAUACGGAGGGUGCUAGCGUUAAUCAGAAUUACUGGGCGUAAAGAGCACGUAGGUGGUUUUUUAAGUCAGAUGUGAAAUCCCUGGGCUUAACCUAGGAACUGCAUUUUGAAACUGAAAUACUAGAGUAUCGUAGAGGGAGGUAGAAUUCUAGGUGUAGCGGUGAAAUGCGUAGAUAUCUGGAGGAAUACCUGUGGCGAAAGCGGCCUCCUAAACGAAUACUGACACUGAGGUGCGAAAGCGUGGGGAGCAAACAGGGAUUAGAUACC
rnacentral:rRNA from 1 species